GAUGAACGCUGGCGGCGCGCCUAACACAUGCAAGUCGAACGAUUAAAGCACCUUCGGGUGUGUAUAAAGUGGCGAACGGCUGAGUAACACGUGGGCAACCUGCCCCUUUCAUUGGGAUAGCCACGGGAAACCGUGGAUAAUACCGAAUACUUCGAGACUUCCGCAUGGAAGACUCGAGAAAGCUCCGGCGGAGAGGGAUGGGCCCGCGGCCUGUUAGCUUGUUGGUGGGGUAACGGGCUACCAAGGCAAUGAUGGGUAGCUGGGUUGAGAGACCGACCAGCCAGAUUGGGACUGAGACACGGCCCAGACUCCUACGGGAGGCAGCAGUGGGGAAUCUUGCACAAUGGGCGAAAGCCUGAUGCAGCGACGCCGCGUGCGGGAUGAAGGCCUUCGGGUUGUAAACCGCUUUCAGCAGGGACGAGGCGAAAGUGACGGUACCUGCAGAAGAAGCCCCGGCUAACUACGUG
rnacentral:rRNA from 1 species